GCCUUCAGCAAUUCCUGCUGAGAAUGUGGCUUGAUCAAGAGAUUCAGCUGCCUCCAGCAAUCUGGACAGAGGAAUCCAUCUCUACUACUGCUCUGAUGAGAAAACCUUUGUUGAAUCAGUCUGUUAUGGGCAUUGAACUAAGUGCAAACAAACUUGAAUAAUCAAAGCUUGAAGGAAAAGAAGGUUUCAAACCAUUGGAUAAAUGACAUUAUGCUGCACAGGAAGUGUACCAAAGAUUGGCCAAAGAGAGUCCUGUCCAGUAAGCUUUGGAUCAAAGUGCAAGCCAAUUCAAAACUUAGAAUUUGAGUGCCUGACCAGAUUCAUAGAAGCAGCCAUUCCAGCAAGAACUUGACAGGGAAUUGCUUGGAGUCAAGAGGGUAGAAAAGAAGAGCAUCUGCCUCCUCCUCUCCUUGAACAAAAGAAGACAUUAGACACUUCAAAUGUCCCAUAAUUCUCACAGGUAUCCUAGCAAUGUCCCUAGAGCAGGAGCUACAGACAGCAGUGUAUGCAUUGAGAACCACGGACAAAUUAAGACAGAAAAGGCGGCUUCCGUACUCUACAAAGAGACUAACAGAAAGUUACGCUGUGACUUAAGGAGGAUUCAUGAGGACUGCACAAAGGAAAAUAAAGGACUUCCAAUAAUCAAGAGCUGUGAGUUUAGACCCUUGACACAUAAGUUCUAUAAGUUUGAUCCCACUUUCCAAAGGGAUACCUUUAAAAGUAUAUGCAGUUAGGAGUGUCACAGACUUUGGGGUGAAGUAAAUACCUUUAACUAGAA